AUAGCAGUUCUAUAAAAGUACCAUGGAGGGAACUUUCCACCUCGCUCCAGGAGAAAGUUGUAGGAGACAUGAGUGGUAGUAGGAGAGGAUGAGGAACACCAAUUGGUUGGAUCGGAGGAGGAGGUGGCAUGGAUGAGAGAACAAAAUAGAGUGAGAGGGGGUGAAAGGUAUCUACGGAGAAGAAGCAAAAUAAAUAAAGAGGGAGGAG
rnacentral:lncRNA from 1 species